GGGGCAUUAGCUCAGUUGGCUAGAGCGCUACACUGGCAGUGUAGAGGUCAGGGGUUCGAGUCCCCUAUGCUCCACCA
rnacentral:tRNA from 1 species